CUCGCCAGGGAACAACGAGCCCAGCUUAAAACCCAAAGGACUUGGCGGUGCUUUAGACCCACCUAGAGGAGCCUGUUCUAGAACCGAUACCCCCCGUUAAACCUCACCCCCUCUUGUUUACCCCGCCUAUAUACCGCCGUCGUCAGCUUACCCUUUGAAGGAUUUAUAGUAAGCAGGAUCGAUUUAUCCCAAAACGUCAGGCCGAGGUGUAGCGAACGAGGGGGGAAGAAAUGGGCUACAUUUACUAUUUUAGUAUAAACGAAUAAUGAACUGAAAUAAGUGUUUGAAGGUGGAUUUAGCAGUAAGUAGGGAAUAGAGUGCCCUUCUGAAAACGGCCCUGAAGCGCGCACACACCGCCCGUCACUCUCCCCUAAUUCACGUAAGAAUUAGAUAAGCCGUACAAUAAUAAACAAGGGGAGGCAAGUCGUAACAUGGUAAGUGUACCGGAAGGUGCACUUGGAAAAA
rnacentral:rRNA from 1 species